rnacentral:rRNA from 1 species
AGUGAGGAAUAUUGCACAAUGGAGGAAACUCUGAUGCAGCAACGCCGCGUGGAGGAUGACGCAUUUCGGUGUGUAAACUCCUUUUAAGAGGGAAGAUAAUGACGGUACCUCUUGAAUAAGCACCGGCUAACUCCGUGCCAGCAGCCGCGGUAAUACGGAGGGUGCAAGCGUUACUCGGAAUCACUGGGCGUAAAGGGUGCGUAGGCUGGCUUCUAAGUCAGAUGUGAAAUCCAAUGGCUUAACCAUUGAACUGCAUUUGAAACUGGGAGCCUAGAGUUCAGAAGGGGCAGAUGGAAUUAGUGGUGUAGGGGUAAAAUCCGUAGAUAUCACUAGGAAUAUCAAAAGCGAAGGCGAUCUGCUGGGAUGAUACUGACGCUGAGGCACGAAAGCGUGGGGAGCAAACAGGAUUAGAUACCCUGGUAGUCCACGCCCUAAACGAUGAAUGCUAGUCGUCGGGGAGCUCGUCUCUUCGGUGAUGCACUUAACAGAUUAAGCAUUCCGCCUGGGGAGUACGGUCGCAAGAUUAAAACUCAAAGGAAUAGACGGGGACCCGCACAAGUGGUGGAGCAUGUGGUUUAAUUCGAAGAUACACGAAGAACCUUACCUGGCCUUGACAUCCCGAGAACCCUUAAGAGAUUAGGGGGUGCUAGCUUGCUAGAACUUGGUGACAGGUGCUGCACGGCUGUCGUCAGCUCGUGUCGUGAGAUGUUGGGUUAAGUCCCGCAACGAGCGCAACCCUCGUCGUUAGUUGCUAACAGUUCGGCUGAGCACUCUAACGAGACUGCCUUCGCAAGGAGGAGGAAGGUGAGGACGACGUCAAGUCAUCAUGGCCCUUACGGCCAGGGCUACACACGUGCUACAAUGGGGCGUACAAAGAGCUGCAAUACCGCGAGGUGGAGCCAAUCUCUUAAAGCGUCUCUCAGUUCGGAUUGUUCUCUGCAACUCGAGAACAUGAAGCUGGAAUCACUAGUAAUCGUAGAUCAGCUAUGCUACGGUGAAUACGUUCCCGGGUCUUGUACUCACCGCCCGUCACACCAUGGGAGUUGAUUUCACCCGAAAUCGGGAUGCCAAACUGGCUACCGCUUACGGUGGAAUUAGCGACUGGGGUG